UGUUGGUGUCAGGUUGGUGUAGCUGG
rnacentral:piRNA from 1 species